GAUCACACCAACAGCAACAGCUAGGCACAGCCCACGAACAAACUGCCGUUGAGAAGACGAACCAUUUCUUCCUCCUCGGAGACACGAGGAGAACCUCGGCGACUCCUCUCCCUCCCACCCUUAGUCCCGAACUCCCGAUCGGAGAUUCUCGGCGGAGGCGCUGCAUCUCCCUGGGCGCAGGAUCUCGGGGCCCGGCGGAGAAGGUGGACCGGCAUCACGCCAACUGAUCGAGCAAGAGCCGAGAGGGACAGGGACAGGGACAGGGAGGAAGCGGCUCAGAAGACGAAGAGGAGAUGUCGUCCGACGGCGGGGGCUCCCAGAUGGGCGUCGCCGGCGCGCUGGGCCUCUCGGUCACGUCGUCAGUAGCCAUUGUUAUUUGCAACAAGUACCUCAUGAGCACCCUCAAGUUCUACUUCGCGACGACACUGACGAGCUGGCACUUGCUGGUGACCUUCUGCACGCUUCACAUAGCGCAGCGCCUGCGCUUCUUCGAGCCAAAGCCAAUCGACGCGCAGACUGUCAUCUCCUUUGGGUUUCUCAAUGGAAUCUCCAUUGGCCUCCUCAACCUUUGCCUUGGCUUCAACUCAGUGGGCUUCUACCAGAUGACCAAGCUGGCUAUUAUACCGUUCACCAUGCUCUUGGAGACCAUCUUUCUGAGCAAGAAGUUCAGCCAGAGCAUCAAGGCCUCUCUCAUGGUCCUCCUCCUGGGAGUUGGCAUCGCAUCGGUCACCGAUCUCCAGCUCAAUCUCCUCGGCUCCAUCAUCGCAGUGCUCACCAUCGCUGCGACCUGUGUCUGCCAGAUCCUGACCAACCAAAUCCAGAGGAGGCUCAAGGUGUCUUCCACUCAGCUACUGUACCAGUCCUCCCUGUACCAAUCCGCGGUGCUGCUCAUCACCGGCCCCUUCGUCGACAAGCUCCUGACAAAGAAGGACGUCUUCGCGUUCGAGUACACAUUCGAAGUCGUGGUGUUCAUCCUGAUGUCGUGCGGGAUCGCGGUGUCCGUCAACUUCAGCACCUUCCUGGUGAUCGGCACGACGUCGCCAGUGACGUACCAGGUGUUGGGCCACCUCAAGACGUGCCUCAUCCUCUCCUUCGGCUACGUCCUCCUCAAAGACCCCUUCACGCUCCGCAACCUCGCCGGCAUCCUCAUCGCCAUCUUCGGCAUGGGCCUCUACUCCUUCUUCUCCGUCUCCGAGAGCAGGAAGAAGACCGAGGGCGCAACGUUGCCCGUCAACACCCAGAUGAGCGAGAAGGAUUCGGCACCGCUCCUUGGCACAAAAACCUCGCCGUGGCAGGAGAGCAACGGCGUGGAGAACUUUGACGACGUGCCACGGACCGCGAAGAGCGCGUUUAGCCGGCAGCUGAACCCGUAGCUUAGGAUGGAUAUGCUUUGGUAAGUUGGUAUAGCAGCAUCGGCAUCUAUUCUUUCCCCUUUGGGGUUUCUCCUACAAUGAUGAGAAUUGCUCGAUGAUGAAAGUAAUGGUGGUAUUGUAAGGUGGUUCUAGGACCUAAAAAGUUCUGGAAGUAAUGUAGGACCGCAAGUGCCAACUUCUCCUACAAUGGUUGUAUGGCAGGGAUAUCGCAGAAAUUGCACCAGAAAUUUUCCGGAAGUUCUGCAAAAGGUGCAAUUUAUUAUGACAAUUCUC
rnacentral:rRNA from 1 species